rnacentral:rRNA from 1 species
GACGAACGCUGGCGGCGUGCUUAACACAUGCAAGUCGAACGAGACGAUUGAAAGCUUGCUUUCGAAAGUCGAGUGGCAAACGGGUGAGUAACGCGUAGACAACCUGCCUUUGAGAUGGGGACAACAGUUCGAAAGGACUGCUAAUACCGAAUGUUGUAUAUUUUCCACAUGGAAGAUAUAUUAAAGAUGGCCUCUAUUUAUAAGCUAUUGCUCAAAGAUGGGUCUGCGUCUGAUUAGCUAGUUGGGGGGGGUAACGGCCUACCAAGGCGACGAUCGGUAGCCGGUCUGAGAGGAUGAACGGCCACAUUGGGACUGAGACACGGCCCAGACUCCUACGGGAGGCAGCAGUGGGGAAUCUUCCACAAUGGACGAAAGUCUGAUGGAGCAACGCCGCGUGAGUGAAGAAGGGUUUCGGCUCGUAAAGCUCUGUUGUCGGGGACGAAUGUGCAUUACUUGAAUAAAGUAGUGUAAUGACGGUACCUGACGAGGAAGCCACGGCUAACUACAUGCCAGCCGCCGCGGUAA